rnacentral:rRNA from 1 species
GGUGAACGCUGGCGGUAGGCCUAACACAUGCAAGUCGAACGGCAGCACAGUAAGAGCUUGCUCUUACGGGUGGCGAGUGGCGGACGGGUGAGGAAUACAUCGGAAUCUACUUUUUCGUGGGGGAUAACGUAGGGAAACUUACGCUAAUACCGCAUACGACCUACGGGUGAAAGCAGGGGAUCUUCGGACCUUGCGCGAUUGAAUGAGCCGAUGUCGGAUUAGCUAGUUGGCGGGGUAAAGGCCCACCAAGGCGACGAUCCGUAGCUGGUCUGAGUGGAUGAUCAGCCACACUGGAACUGAGACACGGUCCAGACUCCUACGGGAGGCAGCAGUGGGGAAUAUUGGACAAUGGGCGCAAGCCUGAUCCAGCCAUACCGCGUGGGUGAAGAAGGCCUUCGGGUUGUAAAGCCCUUUUGUUGGGAAAGAAAAGCAGCAGGUUAAUACCCCGCUGUUCUGACGGUACCCAAAGAAUAAGCACCGGCUAACUUCGUG